CACACACCAGGAGACUAGUAGUGAAUUUCAUUGUACAGAUCACACAGUGACUAUUUACUAUACUUCCUCAUCCUGCCUGAAAGUAACUACUAGCUAUGCCACUGCUUCUGAGCUUAUACAGUUUAAACUGUACACUUUGUUUUUGUACAUACUGUACACAUUUACAGCAGAAGUAUGCAACUUUUGGCAGUUUGGGGAUUGAGAGACUUAUCUGGGGCAGUACAGUGGUGCAGCUGGUCGUGUUGCUGCUUCACAGCCCUAGGGCUCAUAGUUUGAUCCUGAGCUGAAGUUACUAUCUGAGUGGAGUUUCUUAUUUUCUCCCUGUAUUCCUGGAAGCAGAGAACAAAAUACACAAACUGAAAGCGAUCAGGAGUUUUGAUCCAGUCACGCCCAAUAGACUGGACUCAAAAGACUAAACCCACAACAUACAAACACAAUUUGCAGACCAGCUGACUAAUGCCAGCUAAAACAACCUUUGAACUGGGUAACAUCAGCUACAAAUUCUACAAGUUUAAGUUGACUGGUUAUUGUAUUAGAACCUAGCUAGGUAACUACUGAACUAGCUAAACACCGUAUCAUCUUUCAGCCGACAGAAAGCCAGCUUAUCACUCUCAAAUUCCAUGGCACUACCUGUGAAUAGCCAAUAUUCCUCCUCUAUUUUCAUCCAUCCCCUGUUGCUUUCCCUUUUUGCAUGCAAGUGCACCAUUUCAUUGUUUCUUUGGCAUAUCCUCCAUGUACAGUGGCAAGAAAAAGUAUGUGAACCUUUUGGAAUUUCAUGGUUUUCUGCAUAAAUUUGUCAUAAAAUGUGAUCUGAUCUUCAUCUAAGUCAAGGGUACUGAUAAAUAUAACUUAAUAACACAAUAAAUUCUGAUCCCUCGUGUCUUUAUUGAACACACUCAUUCAGCAUUCAAAAUGGCAGUGGAAAAAGUAAGUGAACCCUUACAAUUAAUAAAUGGUUGACCCCCCCUUCAAGUCAUUCCAUAGCAUCUCUACUGGGUUGAGGUCUGGGCUCUGACUCGGCCACUACAAAGGCGGAUUUAGUUUUUCUGAAGCCACACUGUUGUGGACUUGCUCCGGUGUUUUGGGUCGUUGUCCUGUUGCAUCACCCAACUUCUACACAGUUUCAGCUGACGUACAGACAUUCUCACAUUACCCUGAAGAAUUGUCUGAUAUACUUGGGAAUUCAUCUUCAGCUCAAUGACUGCAAGCUGGCCAGGCCCUGAUGCAGCAAAGCAGGCCCAAAUCAUGACGUUUCCUCCAUCAUACUUUACGGUUGGGAUGAUGUUUUCAUGUUGCAAACUUCAGCCAUUCAGAAAUGUUCUUUUUAGUAAGCAGUGGUUCCUUCAUGGUGUCCUGCCGUAGAUACCCUGCUUGUUCAAUGUUUUAUGCAUUGUAGACUCAUGAACAGAGAUGUUAUCCAGUUCCAAUGAUGCCUUCAAAUCUUUGGCUGUCAUUCGGGGUUGUUUCUUUACCUCAUUGAUGAGUCUUCGUCGUGCUCUUGGUGUCAUUUUGACUGGGCGUCCACUUCUUGGUAGAGUAGCAACAGUCCCAAAGUGUCUCCAUUUGUAGGAGGUUUGCCUAACUGUAGACUGCUGAAUUUCUAAAGUCUUUGAAAUCACUUUGUAACCCUUGCCAGCUUUAUGUAAAUCAACAAUUCUUGAUCAUAGAGCCUCUGAAAGCGCUUUUUGGCGAGGCAUGGCUCACAUAAGCGUGUGUUCUUGUGCAGAGCAAACUCCAACAGUUUGAGGGGUUUUUAUCAGUCAAAGUAGCUGUAGUCCACACCUCCAAACUCAUUUUCUUAACGAGACUCCAGGUGUGCAAAAACCUGACCCCAAGGCUUUUUUUCAGGUCAUUAAGGGUUCAGAUACUUUUUCCACAAGCACUAUGAGGUUUUUUUGGUUGUUCUCAAUAAAGACAUGAAAGAUCAGAGUUUAUUUUGUGUUAUUAUCUUAGACGCAUUAUAUUUGUCAAUACCCUUGACUUAGAUGAAGAUCAGAUCACAUUUUAUGUGAAAACCAUGAAAUUCCAAAAGGUUCACAUACUUUUUCUUGCCACUGUGGCAUCCUCCAGGUCACUACAUCAGUGCUGGCUUCCAUACUGCCAUUAAGACUAGCUGAACUUUCUUUCAUGGUAUAUAUAUCUGUGAUGCUGAGUCCCAGAGACUCAACACCAAGCCUGACCUGACCUCUCAGACUAAUAAAUAAUUAUUAUUAUUAUUGUUACAGGCUUUCCAUGGUGACUCACAGAAGUGUAACUACACUGUCAUUGAGCUUUACCUCUAAUGGUCUUCUCCACCUUUGUAACCUCUCCACACCUUUAUAUUGGCUUUCAUCAAGGUCUCAGUGUAAAAACACCGAAGGAACAAAACGCAUCUAAAAGUUAUCUUUAGAAAAGCCUGAGUUGUUUACCUCUCUGUAAAGGUCUAACCUGAAUAAAAGAGCUACCGAAGGGCUCAGCAGCACUGAACAUGAAAUGCACUAAAGCACGACACAUCAAACAAAGCCCCGUCACUAAAAGCUCCAAGCUAUUGGUCUUUUUUGGCUCGCACAAACACACUUCACCUGGUUGCAGCUUUGAGAGAUGAGAGUCCUGAAACUGGAACACAAAGAAGAUGCCCUAAUGGGAUAGAAGCUUUUCUCCAUAAGCACAAGCACAGUGAGAGCAUAUUGCAUUAUUUGUGGUCUGUAAUGAAGUUGUGAAGAGGAUAAGUUUGAAGAUGUGAACGAUAAAGGCUCGGGAUGCCAACUUUUUCAUUUUCGAUCACAGGUACGAUGCCAGCAAGCUUUAAGAAGCGAUCUGUGUUUGUGUCGAACAUCUGCGGCGUGCUAUCCAGUCAGCCAAUCAUGUCUCAGCAGUGCAAUGCAUAAAAGCAUGCAGAUACAUGUCAAGACUUUUAGAGCUUGAUGUUUUUCCAAUCUUCAGCUACGCAGUUUCGGUGAGCCUGUGCCCAGUGUAGCCUCAGAUUCCCGUUCUUGGCUGACAGGAGGCAGCUUCUGCCAUUGUGGGCCAUACAGCUCAAGAUUUAACAUGAAGCUUUCUAACAUGCUUUUCUGCUCACCACGGUUAUAAAGAGUGGUUAAAAAUUUGAGCUACCGUAGCGCUCUUGUCAGCUAGAACAAGUCUAGCCAUUCUCCUCUGACCUCUCAUCAACAAGGUGUUUCUGCCCACAACACUGCAGCUCACUGGAUGUUUUUGCACAAUUCUGUGUAAACUCUAGCGCAAGGGUGUCCAGUCUUAUCCGGAAAGGGAUAAGCGUGCAGGUUUUCAUUCCAACCAAGCAGAAGCCACACCUGAAUCUAUUGGAAGCCAUGAUCAACCGAUUAAACAGGUGGAAUCAGGCGUGGCUCCCGCUUGAUUGGAAUGAAAACCUGCAACCACUCCGGCCCUUUCCGGAUAAGAUUAAACACCCCUACUGUAGAGAGUGCUGCACAUGAAAAUCCCAGAUAAUCAACAGUUUCUAAAACAUUUAAACUAACAACCAUUUUUUCCCUCAUUCUGAUGUGAACAUCAUCUGAAGCUCUUGACCUGUAUCUGGAUGAUUUUAUGCAUUAUGCUGCUGUGAUUGGUUAUGAUUGGUUCAAUUUAAUAUUUGCAUGAAUGAGCAGGUGUACAGGUGUUCCGUCCAGGGAGUGUACGUCACGUCAGAUACAGAAAGAAUCCAGUGCUUUAGAUGAAUAUUGGUGCAACUGUGAAUCAAUAGUAACUGCGAAAAUGCAUGACCAUGUUUAACUACUGUAUUACAAUAGUGAAACUUGUUCUGAUCCAUCCUUUUAAUUGAAAUGAGCAUAAACAUUGUGUGGCUGAUUUGGUGAGAACAAAAAACAAAACCAAAACAAACAAACAAAAAACCCAUUCCUUUAAGUGGCUUAUGUAUUGCAGUGUAUACCGUCAUUUGCUUCCUGAACUAGUUUCACGUUAAUACACACGGACUCCAUCUUUUUGUUAGCAGUAAGUUGCACAAUUUAGUUGCUCUGCAAGAAAAACACAACUGAAAAUUAAUGCGGGAACUGAGCUAUUAUUUGGGAACAAAACAAAUAUGAAUACAAUCUGAAUAAGCAAAUAUGGGGGAAGAAAAAAAAAAGGCAUUACAUAUUUUCCCUAUGCCUGACAGCAAUGCCUCGAUUAUGCAAAAAAUGACUUGACCGACUCAGUAUUCCUGUAUACUACUGAUCGUUGGCAUGGAUUUGAACACGUGUUCCAUCACAACUGUAAUAAAGCCUGUUGUGCUUAUCUUCCAGGAGAUAAAGAAGUCAAAAUAUUACUCUUUAUUUGUUAUACUGAGAAUGUUAAACAUGCUCUAGUAACCUCAUUACUCAUUUCAUUACUGAAUUUAUUAUUCAGAUUAAAGUUUGAUUGCACAUCUAAUAAUUAGUCAUUACCUAUAAUCAUUAUCAUACCUGGUGUGCACAUGCAAUAUUGUUCUAAUUAUCAUAAUUCGCUACACCUAAUAGACCAAACCAUCAUCGAUCUAAAUGAGGCAGGAGAACAGGGGCCGACAUGCCAAUAUUCUGAUGUUCUCUGAGCUUCUCUUCGAAAAGCAUUACACUGCAUGCUGUUAUUUGCACCUAGACUCCUAUGCAAUAAUGCUGAUACACAUUUCUUCAGCAGCCUUCCAUUUGUCCACACGACCUGCCUCUAUGACAAAUGGCACUUACUGUACAUAAUUUAGACAGUCUCUAUUUCCAUUUAGCAGCGAACCAAAAAUACUGUGCCAGGUUGGACAGGGAUUGCUUUAUUUAUUUACUUAAUAAUAUCUUUAGAAGAUCUGUUUUAACACGACUUCUGGUAUGCAUUGAUUUUUAUUUUCAUGAUUCCUAAGAUUCCUUAGCUAUUAAUUUAAUUCUUCAGCUAUUGCUUAUUAGUACGUGUAUAGAGAUGAACACAAUUCAAAUGACCAAAAACCCCAGACAUGAUGACUUUUUGCAGUUAGCAUUGAACUUCCUGAAAUACUGGAAUAUGUACACUACUGUGAAUUUUACAGAACAUACAUAUUCGGAUAUACAGUAGCUGUGCAGUUUUUCUGUGGCUUGAGAUGUGUACGGCUUCAUCUGACACAUGGCCUGAAACAACAGACAUUUUUUGCAAUGAUGAUUGAAAAGAAAAAAUAAAAUAGAGAGACUGCUUGCUCUACUAUGGCAUGUUGCUUCUCAGCUUCUCAAACCAAACAAACCCUCUGAAAAUGAAAGCCCAUUUUUGUUGAUCUGAAUAUUUAAGAUGGCAACAGAGGGGAAAAAGAGGGAUUUUAUAAAGACAAGCUUUCAUGGAAGAAACUGCAGAGAAGGAAAUGAGGAAAUCAAGAACACUGAAGCAAGUCGAACAAUCACCAUCAUUUAUUUACAAUAUAUUAAACCAUAAUGGAAAAAUUAUUACUUAUAACAAGUGGCCAUUUAUUCAAUAAGGAAAAUAAACAGGAGUUAUUUUUAAAGCUAUGAUGAAUUAUACAGACUUAUAUAUUCAUAUUAAUGUGUACAGCCAGCAGUGUUAUGUAUCUUUUCGUCAUGUGUUUGUAUGGAGCCAGAAACAUGAUAAAACACACACUCUUUAUAAUAAAAUUAAUAAUGACUGCAUAGAAACAAGGAUGAAAUCACUGACCUACGAGAGUCCAUAAAAACCAUGUGAAACAAAUGCUGGCUCCCUUCAAAAUAAAAUAAAAGCAGCGAGUCCUCUCCAAUGCUUUAUGUAAAACUGUGUGCAUUUGGCAACUUUGCUCAGUUCAUUAACGCAAGUCCAUAAAUACUAUAAUGAAAGCAAAAUAAUAGCAACAACAGAAGGAGGUUUGUUAAGUGCAGCGCUAUCUAAAAUGUCAAAGGUAAGGCUGACAAUACUGCAGAAUCCGACUUGGGACAUACUUACUUACUUAAGGAACGAAGGAAAUGAGGGAAUACGGAAAGAAGGUAGUAAGUAAGCAAGGGUGUAAGGAGAUAAGGAAGGAAGCGAGGAAAGAAAGAUGGAUUCACAGCAUCAGUUCUAUUCAUGUGCUCAUGCCACGUGUGUGUUGUUUAGCUGUAUAAUAUCAAUAUAAAAGCCAUUCACAGCUGUUAAUGACGAUGAAUUUUCCAGUAUUUGACCACUGUGACAAUAAAGAAAAUAGGUAAGGUAAUCGUCACCAAACUUAGGAUCAAGUACAUUCCCUUUGGAAAACAAGAAUGUAUGCCAGGAGCAAGAAACACAGUAAGCAUAAGAACAAUGCGAAAAAGGAAGGAGAUGACAGCUGAGCCAAAAAUUUCCAACAUGAGCACAGUACUGUCAGG